UUCACGGAAUGGAGUCUCUGGAUUUCGUCCAAACUCUCGUGUUCACGGAGGGAGUAAGGACUGGCGAGCCACAAGGAGUUUCCAACAAGUGCUACUGAAUGACAUCGACAUUGCUGUGUUGAACUGGACGGUAGGAAAGUAAACUAGCAGGACAAAAAGCGCAUUUCAAAAUUCUUUUUGGAAGGAUCUAAUUGGAAAAGACUGAGUGAUUAACUAUUCUGUUGUGAUUACUGAAUUCAGCCACAUUCACAAGUUUGUGAAUGAAACCUCAAGUACUGAAACACAAAAUUUGAAGAUCAAGCUGUGAAAUUAUUAUUUUUUUCUUACUUGAUCAAGGGUAUUUGCUUACAUGUGUUUAUAUAUAUUGUUUUUUUUUAAUUGAGAGAAGAAAGGGAAAUUUAUUCCUUGAAAUACAGAAAGUGUAUCCAGUAAGGGUUAAGUGUAAAAUUUACCUGGAAUCAAAGUUUCACUCAAAGAGGCGAACCAGAAUCUCUGAACACUGGCCAUAUUCAGAACCCAUCGUGUCUGCAGUACUUGGUGCAGCGGGUUACAGUUGUUCAGACAACGAAUCGUUUUUUUCAGUGCAGGAAACAGAGGACAUUAUUUACUCAGGCUACUGAGAAAAAAACUAAAAAGAGUUGUUCAAAAUAAUUAGUAAAUAUAAAGAAAUGGAGACAAAGGAAACUAACAGAUGCAACAAAGUUUAACCUAAAACGAAACUGAAACCAGAAUGUAAUGUGGAAGCUGCCAACACUUCAUGUAGGCCUACUGAGAGAAAGUGAAUGAAGUGGAAAUGAAACCGAACUGCGUUCACAAAUGUUUGAUUCGGUCUGAGAUGUGGUGUGUGCGACAUCUAGUGGUUGAAAAAUCAUAUAUAGACCCUUUAAAAUGUUAAGAUCAUUGCAACAUUACAUUAAAUUGAGGAGCUAAGAGAAUUGAAUAGCUAUCAUAUUGGUCUGGUUUCUCAAUAAUUUGACUCCAAAAGAAAUAGCCUAAUUAUUUCAACAGGUACAAAGGCAAAAUAAAAAGUGUUUGUAAUGUUACUGGACACAGAUUGUGUACUUUGGCUUAAUUGUAUAAAAUAAUAUAUUGGAGACUCCCUUACCCUUAUGUUUUCAGUGCAGACUACAGGAGCACUGAGCAGCAUAGAGCGCCCUCUGGCGGCUGUAGGUGGUAAUGUUUUCUAUUGGUUCAUUUCUCUCGGUUCACAUCAAAUUAAUUUUGAUAAAUAAAUCGCACCUGACUAUAAGUCGCAGGACCAGCCAAACUAUGAAAAAAAGUGUGAUUUAUAGUCCGAAAAUACGGUAAAUACAUAAUAAUUGAAUGCUUAUCUCUGUCUUUGAGGAUAAGAUUUCAAAUAUGAAAGCAAAACAGUAUAUAAAUUAUUGGUAGCCUACGUCCAGUAUGAUUCUCUAAAAGUUAUAAUACCACUGUAGUUGAUCAGUUAAACUGAUUGGCUGGAGGAUUCACCUCAGUUCUGAGCAUGCUAUUGAUAAAUAGAAGAUUAAUAUUAAACAUAAAUUAAUAAUAAAAAAAACUAUUUGCAAUGCAAGCUGCUUUAUGAUUAUGAACACAAUACAUUAAAAUAAUGUGAUAAUAAAUUCCGGUUUGAAAUAUCAAGUAGCAUAACAAAGUGUUUUGUGUGCAGUUAAAAUAGCUGUAAGAGAAUGACACCAGACGAUUUACACAUUCAAGUUAAGAAAGGCAGCACCUGCUCUUACGUUAAAAUAAAGAUAGUUAGUUUUUUUCUGCACCAUGAAACCCAGGCAAUUUUAAAAACUAGAAUUAUUAGUAGUGGUAUUUAUUAAUAAUUUCCUCAUUGUUUGGAUUAAAUGGGAUGCACACACCCUUUUCGUGAGUAAAAAUUGAGUUCUGUCAUGGUGGAAUUUUCCUUUCGUUUUUAUGCCUCCUUGUUUUUGUCUCCCUAGGAUCCAUGUUAUAACUGGGUAAAAGAGCGACUGAAUUUCUUAAACAGAAACUUUUUAUUUAAGCUAUGCUGCCACUACAACAGCAAUAAACUUGAGGCUGAGGAAGUCCUGGGCAGUACUUGUUUUGAGCACCAGCAAAAAUAAAAAGAAUGUCUGUGUACGGUGCCUCAUGUCUUGCAUUCCAUGCACAUGAGAAACUCACAUGAGAAAACAAUCCCGGCUUGCAGCACUUAAGACAAAGACUCCCCAAAGAAGGUUUUAUGUGUGUCCUUAUUCAGAGAGCAAACCCUGAACUUCACCCUGAUAGCGAGCUGCUUGUAGGAUAUGAGCAUUUAGGGAAAAGGUGAUGAAGGUAAGCCUCUUAUCGCUGUUGCCACAUCUGCUCUUCUACUUCCUGUUUCAGUGAAUACACUUCAGAUUCUACAGCUGCAGAGUAAAUGACACACUUUUCUAUUCAGACUAUACUCAAUAAAUUGUGUUUGUUGCUCUGAUUUUCAUAGUUUUGUGUAUUUCCAAUACUUGCAGUAAUUACAUUAGUUUUUCUGAUCAUAUGCAUUUCCUAUUUCCAAGGGUUU
ensembl:lncRNA